GUUGACGGGCCCGUCUUCCCCCCAGAUGAAACAGAUGAAACAAGAUGAAACGAGAUGAAACGAGAUGAAACAAGAUGAAACAAGAUGAAACGCCAAUGUACGGGCGCAGAUGGGGCCGAGAUGAAACGAAAUGAAACAAAAUGAAACAAGAUGAAACAAGAUGAAACAAGAUGAAACCAAAUGAAACUCGAAGUACGGGCGUAGAUGGGCCGCGAAUGAAACAAGAUGAAACAAUGUACGGGCGGAGAUGGGCCGCGCGCAGUGCACCCGGCGUGACGUGCACGAGCGAAAAGAACUGAAUUAAUCCAAUCAUUGAAAUAAUUUUGUUUGCAGAGGCAAUUCGCGCAAGGGAGGUAUAGGAAUUUGAUGGCUUGCGAGUGACAGCACGAGCCGAAUUUAUUGCCCGUGGAAGUACCCACAAUAGGAAUACACUGUUGGGAACAUGGUGGCGCCGCUGACGGUACCUAUGUAAGUGGAAUUACUUUAUUGGAAGUACCCACGACGGGGAAAAUAGUCUCUCUAGUAUUGUCGGUGAAUGGUGAUGGUGGUGGUGGCGAUGGCUACUUUCCUCUGCUCAGAGAGAACCCCUGCAUGUCCUUCGUCGUGAUGCGAAAGAGCAGUGGAUGCAGAAAAUGUCUCUACCUGCCAGGAUGGUAUAAGAGCACGAACUGAAUCACCUGUUGGUGCAGAAGGCUUGGAGGACUGCUUUUGAAACAGUUGUUCAAAUUUCCUGCACCUCUUCGUAGCCGUUGUCUGAUUGCUGCAUUCUGGGGAGACUGAAGUUAAGUAUUAUCAAUUUAUCAUGCCUAUACAAGCCUUGCCAGUGUCUCGAUAGGAGAAGCAGAAGCCCUCACCGACACCAACACUACGUUGCUGUGUUGUUUUCUUCCAAGGUCGGGCACAGUAAAGGAGACGACUCUGUAUCAAGGCACUACCCAGAGGGAGGAUGUUGGCCUUCUCCUGAUGGGAAAAUGUCUUCUUUCUCAUGGCGUGGCCAGGACUGCACUGACCCUACCAUCCACUCUACCUCUCCGGAAAGGGACUUGACAACCAGUCAAGAUGGAAGUGCAGAGAUAUACCAGCGCUUCUAGCAUUAACUGCCAAGUUGCACUGGCGCAGCAAGACUCCCAACAGUCAAAAAGAAUAAUAUAGACGUGCAGAAAAUGUAGGAGAGCGAUGACAUCAGAAGGACACUCUCAGGUUCAGGGUACCUGUACUGCCCCAAUAAAGUGGGUCAGAUCCCAAAACGAGGUUGGCCGAAGCAAAAAAAUAGAAGAGCCUGCCUUGAAUCGAAUAUGAGGAAGAAGAAGAAGAAGACAAAGAAAGAGAAAGAGUAGGAAUUUGUUUGUGUAAACUUUGUUUCCUCUGUCUAGGCCAUCGCAUUAUAGCAACCAACAGUGUGUGUGUGUGUGUGUGUGUGUGUGUGUGUGUGUGUGUGUGUGUGUGUGUGUGUGUGCGCGUAUGUGUGUGUGUGUGUGUUUGCGUUUGUGUGCACACGCUUGUGUGUGUAUGUGUUUGCAUGUGCGUAUAUUCUGCUCAUCUUGACUUAAAUUUCCACAUCUGAGCAUAUUGUGUUCUGUAUGUGAAUUUAUCUUCAUUAACUUGUGCGCUACGUUCCUUUCUUCACGUUACGGCACUUUAGUAUUGUUUUACUUGAACAUCAUACUCUCGCCCAACUUUGUUUCACCAACAAAGGUUUAUUUUCUAAUUGAUUGUGUAUGAGUUUCAUACCACUGUCAGGGGCGUCGGAAGGUAUUUUAGUGUGGUACGGUCAGCCAUCUGAAGUACAAUUUACUCGUGUGGGAGUGGUGGCUAAGCCGAACAUUUUGGAAAUUUAGAUCCCAGAUCAGUGUAUUUUGUUGAUUCACGGGGUAUCUGGGGCAAAAAGUGGUACGGUCAAUACUGUAGUGACUGUACCGUGUGCGACGCCCCUGACUGUUGCAAUCCACCAGC